AACGAACGCUGGCGGCAUGCCUAACACAUGCAAGUCGAACGAGAUCUUCGGGUCUAGUGGCGCACGGGUGCGUAACGCGUGGGAAUCUGCCCUUUGGUUCGGAAUAACAGUUGGAAACGACUGCUAAUACCGGAUGAUGACGAAAGUCCAAAGAUUUAUCGCCAGAGGAUGAGCCCGCGUAGGAUUAGCUAGUUGGUGUGGUAAAGGCGCACCAAGGCGACGAUCCUUAGCUGGUCUGAGAGGAUGAUCAGCCACACUGGGACUGAGACACGGCCCAGACUCCUACGGGAGGCAGCGGUGGGGAAUAUUGGACAAUGGGCGAAAGCCUGAUCCAGCAAUGCCGCGUGAGUGAUGAAGGCCUUAGGGUUGUAAAGCUCUUUUACCCGGGAUGAUAAUGACAGUACCGGGAGAAUAAGCCCCGGCUAACUCCGUGCCAGCCGCCGCAGUAA
rnacentral:rRNA from 1 species